AAAUCACCUUGAAACGCCUGUUCCCGUACGAUCACCAAAGUUAAGCAACGUUGAUCCUUGUCAGUACCUAGCUGGGUAACCUCUUGGGAAUUCCAGGUACGGUA